rnacentral:lncRNA from 1 species
UAGUGCAAAGUGGUGGAACGAUAUGUGCAAAUGUUGAGAAAAUCUGAGUACAUCCAGCUGUUAGGGAAUUCGUCGUUUACCUAGGUAGCUGUGGUCAGUAAUUCAUGUACUUAGGAAUUAAUGUACAGUCAUAAAUGCCAAGACAUGGAAUGGGAAUAUGUUAUUACAGUUCUCGGAGGAUUCAAGGUUACCUGCAAAUUGUUUAAUUGCCUCCAUCUCAUCCGGGUGUGUUACCAAGGCCUCAUCUACAGUCACUCCAAGAGUCUCAGCUAAAAGCUGUGGAAGCAGACGCUCCUUUAUGCCUGUAGAACCAGUCUUGCCUUAAAGGAAAAAUGUAUAUUUGCAACUUAGCUGGAGGUGAUUGUUGAAGGUACCUGCUUAACUCCAUUUGUGCCUAUUGCUGCUGCCAGAAAGGAGUUCUGUUCUCGUCCUUCACAGAAAUGGACUACAUACUACUUGUGGAAUGCUCGUCCCCAUUAGACUGUUUCUGGUGAAUUGAGAAAAUAUUUCCACGACGUGACUGUAGUUAAUUGAACUAUAACUUGCCACGGACAGAAUGACUAGUAUGCCGUCUUUGUAGAUUUCCUAUAAUUCAUACCUUUCCAUCAAGCAGUCCUAAGGAACGGGCACAUGCUUGUUUCCACGAGACAUCAGAUGAAUUUACAUAGCCUUCAUAUAUUCCUCGACAGUUCUUCACUUUAUCCUGUAGGUUUCGAAGUGAUUUGGUUGAAUAUUGCCUAUAUGCUCAAAACAGAGGACAUCAGCUAGUGAAUGAUUUCUCAAGGAUUUUGAUCCAGUACCAUCUUCAUUGCUUGAACCAGGUGAUUUCCUCCCAAGGCAUAUAAGUUGACAGUAGCCAGCAUCUCUUCCUUGAAAGAGUCUUUGGAUUCCACCUUUUAACGUAUACAUGCAAAUUCAUAUUGGCAGGUACAGAAAAAGGUACCUGCAUCAAAGCCUAUUGUUUUUGCUCUGGAAAGUGGAAGUAUAUAAUAUUUCUUCUGUCAGAACUAUGCAUUGACUGAGUCUUUGGAGAGUAUAAGAUGGUAAUUGAAAUAAACUAAAUGAAACAGCUUUCAAGUCUCAAAGUUUGAUGUUAAAAGACUGUUGACUCUCGUCAACUGUGAAACCAGUUCCUACAACUGGCUACUUGAAUGACCUGGAAUCUCUUGUACAUGUUUCAGAAACAGCAUUACUUUGAGAUAAGACUUGCUUAAACUUAAUUACAUGUCUCCCAUAUAAAAAAAACAUCAUAUUUAUGUGUACCAUUGAUUGUGAUUUUUCUUAAUUUAACCUGCCUUAAGAUAUACCCAUAGUUCUACAUUUUUUAAAGAUGUUGAAUGUAAAAAAAAUAAUUUUCAUUUAAGUUACCUUGGUGAAACACCGCACCUCUUCUGUGGUACUGUAAUGUAACUGGAUUUUAAAUUAUGGGUUAUUUGUGGGUUGUUGGGGCUUACAGUGUAGUUGUCCCCAUUAUUUUUUUUGGAUAUUAUAACGGAUGCAUGAACAUGGACAACCAUUUUUAAUCAAAGAAUUGAGAAACACUUGACAACACAUUUUGAAAAUUCAAAGGAUUUUUGUAUUUAUAUGUUGAUUAGAUAACCUUUAAUGCAUGUAUAUCAUCUUUCAGUGUUUAUAUUUGCAAACAUGUUGCCUACCUGCACAUUUUCCUUUCAGACUUUGCAUUUCUGUGUCAACAUGUGUAUAUUGUGGAAAUAUACAUCCAUCUCCCUCAGGCCAUGUUAUUUCUCAGAUGUUAAAAUUUUACAAAUUGUUACAUAUUUUUUAGACCUUCAUCAAAAUUUUUUUAAUUGAACAAAAGAUAAAGCACUAUUAAAUAUUUAAAAUUUACUACACCUAAUUACGAUAUUAUAUAACAAUAAGCAAUGUUCAUAAUAAGACAGUACUCGGCCGCUUAGCUCUAUAGGUAGAGUCUCGGUGUACGGGUCGCUGAAUCAAGAGUUCGAUCCUCGUGCUGGCCAUCUGUUCUCCAUGACUAUUUGAAAAACGACAUUGUGUCUGAAAUCAUUAGUCCUCUGCCUCUGAUACAUGUGGGGAAGUUGGCAGUCACUUGUGGAGAACAGGUUUUUACUCAUACAGAAUCCAGGAAAACUGGUUAGGUUAACUGCCCGCCGUAAGUACUGUUGAAAAAUACUGUUAAACCCAAUACAAACAAUCAUAUCAUUAUAUGACAGCAGUGAACUACUCUUGACAUAAUGAAACACAAAUGGUUAUGGUCAAUGUUUUUCUGAUAAUCAUUGGCUUUAAAACUAAUGCAUAUAUUUAUUUUACUAGUACUGCUGCCUUUUCCAUUUUUUCCCAAGCCGUUAUCAGUUAGGAUACUUAUGAAGUCCGCAUUAUUCAUAGUGGAGUUGAGCUGAAAUGAAAAAUAAAUGAUUUUUUAAGUUUUUCUGUCUUUUCAUAAGGGAAAUGUUUUCAAAAGCAUCUUCAUUGCAAAUGUUAAAGUGUAGGAGGAGUCUGAAAUGCAUUUUAUACUUUUUGAAAUUAUCAUAAAUAUGUUACCUUUUUUUCCUUUGCAACUCGUGAACUGGAAACAAACAAAUUUUGUAGCAUU